rnacentral:rRNA from 1 species
GUGGGGAAUUUUGGACAAUGGGCGCAAGCCUGAUCCAGCCAUGCCGCGUGAGUGAUGAAGGCCCUAGGGUUGUAAAGCUCUUUCAGUGGGGACGAUAAUGACGGUACCCACAGAAGAAGCCCCGGCUAACUUCGUGCCAGCAGCCGCGGUAAUACGAAGGGGGCUAGCGUUGUUCGGAUUUACUGGGCGUAAAGCGCACGUAGGCGGAUCGUUAAGUCGAGGGUGAAAUCCUGGAGCUCAACUCCAGAACUGCCUUCGAUACUGGCGAUCUUGAGUCCGGAAGAGGUGAGUGGAACUCCUAGUGUAGAGGUGGAAUUCGUAGAUAUUAGGAAGAACACCAGUGGCGAAGGCGGCUCACUGGUCCGGUACUGACGCUGAGGUGCGAAAGCGUGGGGAGCAAACAGGAUUAGAAACCCGGGUAGUCC